GAGUCUAUUAAAAUCCCACAAAGAGAUCACUUUCGAAAUUCUAAUUUCGACCGUUGGGGUCUCAGAGGCUCUCCCAAUUUCUAACGUCUCAAUCUCCGUCAAAGAAGCAGUAGAGAGAAGCGUUGAAAUCGUGAGCCACCGUUGUCGAUGAUUUUAUCGAAGGGGAAUGAAACGAAGCGCCGUUGGAGAGAGAUAUCUAGUGGAGUAGGAGGCGCCGAGGCGGUGCUGGAGAGAGUGGAGAAGGAGAAGACGGAGGAUUUAUCGCGGAGAAAGGACGAGAAGAGAACGUGAGGGAGAGAAGGAGGAAGCCUCAAUCGUGUUCGCCGGAGUGGUAACGGAGCCGAAUUCCAAAGUACCCAACGGAAACAAAAGUCGUUUCCCCUUGAGGAUUCUUCUCUCGGAUCGGUGGCUAAAAGUCUCCGUCGUUACGGUCAAUUCGCGGGGAUUGAAAUUGUCUGAUUUUCAAAGGGGAUUACAUCAAUGAAGAUGCUAUUCAUUCAAAUUCGAGGAUUCAUGAUCUUCAGAGGAUGAGCAGAGGCGUUGCCACUGAUUAGCCUAAUUCAUAGUCGUGACAAAGGUCAAAGUGUUUGCGUUUCCAUGUUACAAGACCGUAAACGCAAACACAAAGAAACAAUCAACCAUGCCUAGUUUCAGAUUUUUGUGGAGAAACGAUAUAAAUAAUGGAGAAGAGAGCCAUUGUUGCGACAUCUUGAACCUCCUCUGUCCAUAAACCAUGAUGAUGCUGAUGCACCACAAAAACGCUAACAGAAGCCUGGUGCUGUCCGACAUCAAGAAUGAGAGGUUGUAGUAGGAUGUGUAUAGUGGUAAAAGCAUGCCAACAACUUGGUUUGAGAGAAGCUUGAGUGACAUUGAAAUCCGAAUUCAGCUUCGUUUGGUGCCAGUAAUGAGAUUCAUCGCCAAUUGACUCACCGUGGCCAUUUGAUGCUUUUUGUGUUUCUGCUCCAGACAAGUAGUAGAGCUUCAAUAUACCAGGACAGAACACUGCUGGCUCAAAAAGAUAAGAAAAUCGUACAUCGCUUGGUUAUUUUAAUUUAUCUGAUUCAACCAGAAUAUGGUUUCGUAAAUCACCGAAGUCUGUGUCAUUUAACUGUCAUGUGAGCAGCUAGAGGAAAUGGAACAUAAUUUAUUGGCCUUAAUCUAGACUGCCUAGACCUUCCCUUGAAUUGGCUGGUGGAGUUCAAGAGGAUACAAAGGCAGAUAAAGAGCUAUGGUAUGUAUUUGAUGUCUCUAGUUUCCUACCUAUUAAUGUGAUCAGAGUUGAGAGCUGCCUUACAAGAAGGGGGUUAGGUGGAGCUUAAAAACUGCAAAAAGUUAAAGAAUUCAAGCCUAACAUGGUGCUGCAACAUUAAAAGCUGUUUACACGAUUCUUGUCGGCUAUGAAUAUAACGUAAAUGAGUGUCAAGAAUACUUUGCAGUUCUGGAUACAAGAUUAUCUAAUGACGUCGAUAACAUAUUUUCCCUACCAAACUCUUAAAAGGCAUUCUUGAGGCUCAUUUAACAUCAAAGUGAUGAGAAAGAAUUAGCUUUGUGAAGUCUUAUGGAGGUGGUCAAAAAAGUUAUGUGUGAGGAGUCUUAAAUUUUCUUUGAAAGGCUGAUGUUAUAGAACACAUGCAUCGAGAAGACAAGAAAGAUCUGUUAAAGAUUGUGGAUAUAAUGCAUAAUCUCCAGGGCAUUCAAAUUAAAAAUAAACAUAUUCUCUAUAGACUUGUUCGUUGAUUUCUACAGGUUGAUAUAUGUGAAGGAGGAGUGGGGGCUUCCUCAAGCCAAGUAGUACGUGAAGGAAAAGACCGAGGAUUAGCUAAAGGGACUAGAGACGCGUAAGGUGGAGCUUAACAGUCUUAAAAUGAUAAAUGGAUUCCAAUCUAACAUGUGCUUACAGAGGAAGUUGGCCAAACUGGACAAGUAGACAGUGAGUUGAGCAGCAUGGUUAGGCAUUACUGGCGGAGAAGGACCUCGAAGUCGGAAAGGUUCUGAUGGAACAUCAGUACCCCAAGUUGAUGGUUCGCAGUAUAGGGGGACUCUGAGAAUACAACAUCACCAAGCACUAUAUCAGCUCACUGUAGUAUAUCUUCUCUAGUUCCUACAUUAGAAUCCGUGAAUACCAGCUAACCAUGGGAGCAUUGCACGUCUUAAUUACACUGGGGAAAAUUUGGUGGCAUGUCUAUAAGGGACUGUGGAGGUUUGAGUUAUGAUCUCCACUUCUUACAAGUAAAGAAAGAGGUAGUUCAACAAGUAGAUCUUGUACCAACAUUGAUAAUCUUUGACGAACGACUGGAGAAGAGAAACAACAUGAAAAAGAGACACCAUCAACAUAACCAGUAGAGUUAAAUGUUUUGGUAGAACAUCAAUACCCCAAUCUUGAGAUUUCAGGAUGGAUUUUUGCAUCAAGUGGAAUGUUAUGCGGGCAGGGCAGAGAGGUCUUUCUGCAUCCGCGGCCAGUGCUUCUGUGGUUUUGGCUUACGUUGUAUAUUGAGAAGGGGAAAUUAUUUCAAGGGAAGUAAACAUACGGUAUGAUUAUCGUUUUAAUGCACUAAAGUCUAGAGGUGUAGUUACCAAGGCUCAUUACCUUGAACAGAACUGUGUCUAGAUCGAUGUUUUCCGGGGUGAAUGAGGAAGUUACAGGCUAGGGAUGAACAAUAUACAAGCUGUAUCAGAAAUACUCACUCUACGGGAUGGGGGUUAAGUAAAAUGGUAAAUGUUAUGUCAUAUAUGCGGAGGAAAAAGGGGCAGGAACAUGUCUUCUCUUUGAUAAAAAAAUUUGUUACUAAUUACUACAGACAAUAACAAUGUUGAUGCUGAUACGCCCUAUGCGGAACUUUUAGGCCAUGAAGAUGUGUAUGCCGCCACUUCUUUCACCUGCGUCAAGAGUUAUCCAUUUCAAACUUCUAAUGGACAAGCCAUGAAGGCUUGUGAACUAAUUAUAGUCAAGCUUGAUGAUCCUUCUGCUGUAAGAAAGGUCGAACCCUUCAGCAGAAUUUUCCCUAGAUUAGUGAUUCCAGCGGCAGUAUAUGGUACAGUUGAUCAGAGAUGUGCGGCAAUAUGUUGUUUAAGACUACUUAAUCGCCUUGACAGCCCGAAACUCCCAUUUUUCAGUGGCAAGAGUUCUUUGCAGUUCUGAAGACAGGACUACCUAAAUAUCUCAGGAACACGGCUCAUUUCUUAUAUUGUGAUGAGAAAACGAGAACUUGUGACAUUUUAUGAAGGUGGUAAAAGAUGAACAAACGAAUUUGUUAUAACCAGUUAUGUUUCAGGUCAUAAGAGAUACAAAGAUUGUCGAUUAUUGUUCUAUUCACAAAUAAGAGGAGUUAUUUUUGUUCAUGAGCUUCCCCAGGAAGAACAAAAACUAAUUUUCAGAAAUGAGUGGCUGAAGUUUCGAGGUUCUAGUUGUCUUCUCGUCCUGUACAUCGUUAUUGGAAACAAAGCUGCUGUUGCUGGGAAGGAAGGAAGGAACAAGUGGGAGUAGAGGAAAUCGUGUUGAUGGUCUGCUUCCCCAUUGUCAUUAUCCAUAGUGAUGAACUUCCUCUAUCUGAGAGCUUCCCUUGCAAUGGUGGUCUCAUAGUGUAGGGAUGAGGACCAAGCUCAUAAAAGAGUAAACAAGCUGGCCAAAAUUCUGGGUGGAUGAGGAAGCUACUGACUAUGAAUGAAAAGUUCAGAAGUCGUAUCAGAAAAGUUAAGGGAUGCCAAAGUCAGUAAAUGUUACUUAAUCGCCUCAAUGGCCCUACUCACCCAUUUCUCAAUGCCAAGAGUACUUCGCAGUUUUGGUGACAAGACUACCUAAAUAUUUCAAGAACAUGAAUUCUUGAGGCGAUUACCUAUCUCAAGACCUACGAUUAUGUGUUUUUUCUCUUUGAGAUAUCUAUUGGCGACAUGCUCAUGUAUUUUCUUGUGAUGAGGAAAAGAGAAACUUGUGAGAAUUUAUGAAUGUGGUAGAGAAAGGGAUUCCCUCUUUGAAGUAUAUUUAUUUGUAGAAGUAAUAUAUAAAGUUUACAAAUGGCUUUGUUGCAACCACUUACUAAUUAUGUAUCAGGUCAUGAGAAAUGCAAAAGAUUGCCGCUCACUGUUCUAUUCACAAAUUACAGUUUUGAAUUUAUUAUCAAACAAGUGCAGUCUCUGCAGAGUAUAAUAGGUGCCAGUAGGGAUGAGGGACCAACCUCAUUAGAGAGUAAACAAGCUGGCCAAAAUUCUUAACGACAAAUAUGUCUGUUCUAGCCUCUGUCCUGCAGGUAUAUGUGUGAUCAGUUGUAAAAUUCUGCGAGAUCAUAGAAACAGUGUAGUGGAGAAGAGCUGUUGCUGCGUAAUCUUAAACAUCCAUUGUUCAUAAAUUAUAUUCUGGUUUUAAGCGUCUCAUAUUUUUCAAUGUUUCUCUAAUAAUUAUAUGAUGCAGGAUAAGAUGAAAAAAUACUCAAUAUACAGUAUUACGCCUUCACGAGACCAUCAAUGACAUAUGUAGAGUGUUACAGUCAAACCAUUUAUAAGGAUAAUCCGUCAGAUCUCUUUUUCAACAGGCUACAAAUAAUGACGGGUUUAUGUUGCAUCAAAGGCUAGACAACCAACUUAGUCAUAAACUUUUCAACAUGGUGUUUUUGUUGAAAUGUGUUUUGAGGUUUUUGAUGAAUACCAUAGAGGAACUGAAACUGAAUCCGCAUAAUGAUGCCAUGAAACCAGACCACAUCACAUAUUGUCAGGUGCAUACUACGUGAACAUCAGAUAUAUAGUCUUGUGCCUUACCCAAUGUACGAUGGUUUUUUCUUUUACAAGUUACCGUUUGCAAUAUGUCAGAACCCUUUAAUAACAGUAUUCAAUGUUUUUGUCACAUAAUACUUAAUGUGAAUGUGGAGUAUGAAGAAACUACAGUUGAGAUGAUCUUAGAAGAAAAAACACGAGAGAGACACAAGUCUAUUGGAGUAAGAGUGCAAAGGUUUGGGUGUAUUCUAGUUGGACGUGGGACUGUGGUUACUGUUAAUACUACCUGCUUUCAGAUUUCAGGAUAGAUGCUGCAUCACUUACAUUAUGAAGAGAAACGUUUUCCUAUCAUAAUAGAUCCAUUGCAUAUGUAAUCUCUAUGGCUCACUGAAUCUCUACUCCUUGAUUAUAUUUAGGGAAGAUCAGAAAGAUUGUUUGUAUUUGGAGGUAGAUCUCCCAAGACUCAAGUAUAUAAGAGAAUCUUUGGUAACGAUGGACUGCACUGAUGAUAAUCUCCAGUUUUUUCGUGGACUACAACUCAAAGCUAGCUUCUUGAAUUAAGUAGUUAUAUAACAAGACGACAAGCUAUGAAGUUGUUGGGUUGAUAUAUUGCUAGAAGAUUGUAAAAAGGACGAAUGAAGAAGAAGCCAUGAGCCAUAUAAAGAAUAAGAGAAGCUCUCCAAAUUCUCAAGAAGGAGUAAACCAAAAAUAUCGUAAAGGUUACUAACUCACCUCACAUGUCUUUAGCAGGGAGUAAUAAAAUAUGUUGGGCCAAGUCAGUUUCCUUCAGAAGAAGAAAGUGAUGACAAAGCCUAAGAACGAUAUUAGCAACACUGUCUAUGUCUGCUUAUGUUUACAUAUGAAGCUGAGCAUCCUCCAAUUCUCUAUCAAUACAAGAGGAGUGGAAGAGCCUAAAAAGCUUUAUAACAUAAACAUGAAGAACUGCUCUUAUUGCAAGAACACAGACAUGGCUUUACACUAUGGUGAUACAUAAAGGGAGUGCAUCCGCCCUCAUUUUGGUUUCAAGUGUGCAUAUCAUUUAAGUUUCCCCAGCUUACUAAUAUAAUUUCCUUGGAUUCAGAUAUGUUUUGGAUUUUGAGAAUGUGAAGAAGCUUUUCUACAACAUGCAUCCUCCUAAUUUCGCCAUUGCUGCUGCAACUUCUAAGCUUUCAAACUACUGGAAAAAAAAAUUGCACUAAUUUUAGCUUGGAAAUAAUAUCAGACAUUAUUAAGUUUCAAUCAUGCAAUCAUAGCUUCAACCCUUUUAUUUUAUUUUACAGGAGUUUCUGGAGCACAAAUAUGCCAAGUUUCUCACCAACAAUUAAGACUGAUUUUGACAUCGGAAGAGGAACUUAGAGAAUUGCUCUCUAGAUCUAGCCAAGACUUUGCUGAUAUUUCUCAUAAUAGAUGCAUUGCCUGAACUGGAGCAGUACAUCAACUGUUUUUCAGCUGGCGUUUAUCUGAAAUAUGGUAUCAUCGUACACUGUGAGGUAGCCCUGAGAUUAAUAAACCGUAUCCGCACAUAUUCAUAUCCGUAUCAGUUUCUCUGAAAAAUGUAUACAGAGACGGAUAGUAAAAUGCCGGAUAUUUUGUAUACGGAUACGGAUAAUGCGGUUUUUUAAAGUGGAUAACGGAUAUUCGGUAUUUAGAUAA